UCCACGCCCUAAACGAUGUACACUAGUUGUUGUGAGGCUCGACCUUGCAGUAAUGCAGUUAACACAUUAAGUGUACCGCCUGGGGAGUACGGUCGCAAGAUUAAAACUCAAAGGAAUAGACGGGGACCCGCACAAGCGGUGGAGCAUGUGGUUUAAUUCGACGAUACACGAAGAACCUUACCUGGACUUGACAUAGUAAGAACUUUCUAGAGAUAGAUUGGUGUCUGCUUGCAGAAACUUAUAUACAGGUGCUGCACGGCUGUCGUCAGCUCGUGUCGUGAGAUGUUGGGUUAAGUCCCGCAACGAGCGCAACCCUCGUCAUUAGUUGCUAACAGUUCGGCUGAGAACUCUAAUGAGACUGCCUACGCAAGUAGGAGGAAGGUGAGGAUGACGUCAAGUCAUCAUGGCCCUUACGUCCAGGGCUACACACGUGCUACAAUGGGGUAUACAAAGAGCAGCAAUACGGUGACGUGGAGCAAAUCUCA
rnacentral:rRNA from 1 species